rnacentral:rRNA from 1 species
GAUGAACGCUGGCGGCGUGCCUAAUACAUGCAAGUCGAGCGAACAGACGAGGAGCUUGCUCCUCUGACGUUAGCGGCGGACGGGUGAGUAACACGUGGAUAACCUACCUAUAAGACUGGGAUAACUUCGGGAAACCGGAGCUAAUACCGGAUAAUAUAUUGAACCGCAUGGUUCAUUAGUGAAAGACGGUUUUGCUGUCACUUAUAGAUUGAUCCGCGCCGCAUUAGCUAGUUGGUAAGGUAACGGCUUACCAAGGCAACGAUGCGUAGCCGACCUGAGAGGGUGAUCGGCCACACUGGAACUGAGACACGGUCAAGACUCCUACGGGAGGCAGCAGUAGGGAAUCUUCCGCAAUGGGCGAAAGCUUGACGGAGCAACGCCGCGUGAGUGAUGAAGGUCUUCGGAUCGUAAAACUCUGUUAUUAGGGAAGAACAAAUGUGUAAGUAACUAUGCACGUCUUGACGGUACCUAAUCAGAAAGCCACGGCUAACUACGUG